GUUUGUGGCUGGCAGAGGCAAAAUACUGGACUUGUAGCAGCAAUGAUAGUGAUCAGUCAGCUGUGCCUGAAGUCAUGUCUACCCUUUGGACUUUCUCUUCAAUUUAAGUCAUUUUGAGUAGUGUUUCUGCCUCUUGGAAUCUAAAGGAUCCACAUGAAUGUAAUGAAGUUAUGUGCCAGGUGCUAUGAGGCGAUGAGAAGGAAGAAGAGUAUGUACCACUGUCUUCCUGGAGGAAGUGACACAGGACCUGAGUCUUGAAA
rnacentral:lncRNA from 1 species